rnacentral:rRNA from 1 species
UACGUAGGGUGCGAGCGUUGUCCGGAAUUAUUGGGCGUAAAGAGCUCGUAGGCGGUCUGUCGCGUCGAUCGUGAAAAACUUGGGGCUUAACCCUGAGCUUGCGGUCGAUACGGGCAUGACUGGAGUUCGGCAGGGGAGACUGGAAUUCCUGGUGUAGCGGUGAAAUGCGCAGAUAUCAGGAGGAACACCGGUGGCGAAGGCGGGUCUCUGGGCCGAUGACUGACGUGAGGAGCGAAAGCAUGGGGAGC